UGGUAGGCCAACAAUGAAUUCAAACGCAGAUGCGCGGGAGCCCAUCCCAGUCAGCCGAAGACCAAAGCAAACCAAAGCAAUUCCCAAGAGAUGACAGAUUAUAUUCUCCGUAACGAGUUUCAAGAGGUUAUGAGUGACACUUGUCAGUAGUCUCCUCAUCUACAUGCCAAGAAUACAAAACAUAUCCAAAUCAUUCAGUGCAACAAGAUCUGGUCUUUAAAAGCAAAAUCAGAGUGACACAUGUCAAUCUUCCCCUCGUCUGUGGAACUGUACAGUAAACCAAGAAUACAAAACACAUCCAGAUCAUUCAGUGCAACAUUCAAGAUCUCGUCUGUAAAGGCAAAAUCAGAUUAGAUACUUCUCUUCAACGUCUAUCAAGGACAAAGACAAGUGACAGAAAGUGAUGAGUCGGGAUGUUUUUGCUCCAGGUGUCUGUCAUCAGAGAACUGAUUCAAAUGACUCCUGAUAAUGACGAUAAAACGACCUGGAAGUGACAUUAACCUUACAGGAACCUCAACCUGGGUCUCCAGCGCGCAGCAGCUCUGCUCUGGGAAGAAAGGGUUUGGAACAAAGUGAAGGGGUCAGAGGUCAGCUGUGCUGGUCGUGUACAUGUGCACCUGUGUGAGAGAGAGGUGAAGGUGGAGUUUAUUUUUAGAUCCGCUCAGGUAGAGUCAACAGGGAGGAAAACAGCUUUGCAUAUGGAUCUGCAUGCCUCUCUCAGUGGCUUCGUUACAGAAUACUCUGACACACAAGGAUCCAGCAGCUUUUCAAAGGAACAUUGGCCAGGUAUGGACACAGCAAGAAUAUUAUUAGCCCUUAAACAAGGCACACAAUCGUUGGUGAACUAUAUUCGAGAAUAUUUAGCCAUCGCUCACUAUUCAGAUUUACCGGACUGUGUUUUGAUAAGAGUUUUUCUGUGAUGGCAUUAAUCAGCCUCUAAGGUCUAAGCCUAGACGCGAGGGUCCGCGUUCAUCACUCAGUCAGUUUAUGGAUUAUGCUUUGUUGUCUGUUGGCUCUUUAUUCACUGUGGGUGUCACAGAGGAAGAUCGCGACAUCGCGUCCAUGCCAGUAAUGGAAAUUUAGUCAGCCACAAGCUCCGGGAGAUUCGAGUUUACUGAUCACUACUCCAGUGAUUGAACCCGCUUGUGAAAUGGCGGCCGCACCGGAGCGCGCUCACAUAAUGGCAGCGACAGCGGAGCCUGUUCACAAAAUGGCGGCCACAAGAACGCUCUGUCAUGUCACUGCUGCGAUCUCUGUGUCAAGUCACCGUUGAUCUUCCUGAGUAAAGUCACAUCAAAGCUGAUCAAAGUGUUCCCCGAGGCGAUGGCUCCCUCUGCAGCUUCUUCAGAGGUGGCGGCGUAUGUUGCAGAACCUCUUGAGGCAGCAGCGCUCGCUUCAGCUCCUUGCACGGUGGUGGCGCCCAGCAAUGCACCCUCAGCCUGCCAUGUCGCGGUCGAAAGAACCGUUGCUGAACUCUGUACCUGUCCUGUUAAGGAGAAUGUUAAUGAACUUUCCCUGUUUCCUGAUGUUACUGCUGUAGAACCUCCAGAGGUGGCGGCAUCCGCUGCAGAACUCUAGAGGAGUCAGUGGUAUCCACUUAUUAGCUCUCUGCCUGUCCUUUUACGGCUAUGGAGGCCGCUUAUGAACUUUUGUCCUGCACUGAACCGGCAGAGGUGGCCCUCUCUGAACUCUUGCCCUGUUCCAAACCCAUCAUGGAGGCCAAUUAUGAGCUAUUGUCCUGUCCCGACCCAGCUGAGGAGGCUGCCUCUGAACUCUCUAGUGAACAGUCGGUCUAUCCAGUUUCAAUCAAUGAGUUUCAUUUUGAGCUAUCUGUCUGUCCAGUUUCAACCUAUGAAUCUGAGUGUGAAUUAUCAGCCUGUCCAGUUGCAAUCAAUGCUCUUGAUUUUGAACUAUCUGUCUGUCCUGUUUCAACUAAUGAGUCUGACUGUGAAUUGUCUGCCGGUUUAGUUUACUCUUAUUGCUCCUCGUCUGGACUAUAGCCUGUCUGUUGGAUUACCUAUUUGCCUCGCCCCCUGCAUUACAUUUGCUGUCGAUUGACCAAUGCCUACUAUUUUUUGUCUUCAACAUACCAUCAUGCCAUUGUCUGACCCAUGCCUGUUUUUGACCACGUCUUUUAAUAAAAGCUUUGCAUAUGGAUCCGCACGC